rnacentral:rRNA from 1 species
GACAGAGGUGCCAAGCGUUAGGCGGAAUCACUGGGCUUAAAGCGUGUGUAGGCGGAUUUGUAAGUACCUUGUGAAAUCCCACGGCUCAACCGUGGAACUGCUCGGUAUACUGCUUAUCUUGAGCCACUUAGGGGCUACCGGAACAAAUGGUGGAGCGGUGAAAUGCGUAGAUAUCAUUUGGAACGCCAAUGGUGAAAACAGGUAGCUGGGAGUGUGCUGACGCUGAUACACGAAAGCCAGGGGAGCGAACGGG